rnacentral:tRNA from 1 species
GCCUGGCUGGCUCAGUCGGUAGAGCGUGUGACUCUUGAUCUCAGGUUCGUGAGUUCGAGCUCCAUGCUGGAUG